rnacentral:rRNA from 1 species
AUUGAAACACCAGUUUCAGUAUGAUCACUGAAGUUAAGCAACAUCAAGCCUAGUCAGUACCUAGAUGGGUGUCUGUUUGGGAAUACCAGGUGCUGUAAG